CUGCAGCCAACUAAGUUGACCAUGCUCUUUUCCUCAUGGGGUUCCUGGUGUCCAAAUGCUGCAAGCAGUAGUCUAUUUGGUAAUGUAUGCAACCUGUUGCUCAUGCGUGUUGCCCAAAGAGACAUGGCAACAGCC